rnacentral:rRNA from 1 species
UACAGAGGGGGCAAGCGUUGUUCGGAAUUACUGGGCGUAAAGGGCGCGUAGGCGGCCUUCUAAGUCGAACGUGAAAUCCCCGGGCUCAACCCGGGAACUGCGUCCGAUACUGGAAGGCUUGAAUCCGGGAGAGGGAUGCGGAAUUCCAGGUGUAGCGGUGAAAUGCGUAGAUAUCUGGAAGGAACACCGGUGGCGAAGGCGGCAUCCUGGACCGGUAUUGACGCUGAGGAGCGAAAGCUAGGGAGCAAACGGG